rnacentral:rRNA from 1 species
UACGAAGGGGGCUAGCGUUGUUCGGAAUCACUGGGCGUAAAGGGCGCGUAGGCGGCUUUGGUAAGUCGGGGGGUGAAAGCCUGUGGCUCAACCACAGAAUUGCCUUUCGAUACUGCAUGGCUUGAGUACCGGAAGAGGUAAGUGGAACUGCGAGUGUUAAGGAGGUAGUAAUUCGAUAUGAUAUUACGCCAAAGAAUCGACCAAGGUCGG